rnacentral:rRNA from 1 species
GACGAACCGUACGAACGUUAUUCGGAAUUACUGGGCUUAAAGGGUGCGUAGGCGGCGCAGUAAGUUGGGUGUGAAAUCCCUCGGCUUAACCGAGGAAUUGCGCCCAAAACUACUGUGCUCGAGGGAGAUAGAGGUGAGCGGAACUUAGGGUGGAGCGGUGAAAUGCGUUGAUAUCGAUAGGAACUCCGGUGGCGAAGGCGGCAUACUGGACCACAUCUGACGCUGAGGCGCGAAAGCCAGGGGAGCGAACGGG